GAAUGAUCAAUUUGCGACUACCCUACUAAAGAAAUCUCGGUCGACGAAGAGCCCAUCAAGCAAACAAUCGCCGAAAUGGGGUCAACCCCUAAACCAGCGCCACCUCUAUCCUGUCAGAUGGGUUCAACGUGGAGGGGAACCGCCUCCACUACAGCUACGAAGGUAACGGGGUGACCAGGUCACACAAGCAGGCAGCACAGUACAGUAUGGAGUCUAAUGGGAGAAGUCAGUUUAGCGGUAGUGAUGCCUGGACUACAUUCAGGUUAGUAACGUCAGGGUUAGUCCGGUAACGUUAGUCAGGGCUAGUCCGGUAACGUUAGUCAGGGUUAGUCCGGUAACGUCAGGGUUAGUCCAGUAACGUCAGGGUUAGUCCAGUAACGUCAGGGUUAGUCCAGUAAUGUCAGGGUUAGUCCAGGGUUAUCAGGGUUAGUCCAGUAACUCCAGGGUUAGUCCAGUAAAGUCAGGGUUAGUCCAGUAAUGUCAGGGUUAGUCCAGUAAUGUCAGGGUUAGUCCAGGGUUAGUCCAGUAACGUCAGGGUUAGUCCAGUAACGUCAGGGUUAGUCCAGUAACGUCAGGGUUAGUCCAGUAACGUCAGGGUUAGUCCAGGGUUAGUCCAGUAACGUCAGGGUUAGUCCAGUAACGUCAGGGUUAGUCCAGUAACGUCAGGGUUAGUCCAGUAACGUCAGGGUUAGUCCAGUAACGUCAGGGUUAGUCCAGUAACGUCAGGGUUAGUCCAGUAACGUCAGGGUUAGUCCAGUAAUGUCAGGGUUAGUCCAGGGUUAGUCCAGUAACGUCAGGGUUAGUCCAGUAAUGUCAGGGUUAGUCCAGUAAUGUCAGGAAACCGUAAAUUCCAGACUAUAAGCCGCAACUUGUUUCCCAGGCUUUGAACCUCGCGGCUUAAACAAUGACGCGGCUAAUAUAUGGAUUUUUCCCGCUUUCACAUUUUUUGUUACAAGCCGUGUUUCGUUAAAGCCUGUGUAAAGUUCAUUUGUUUCAAUGUACCGGUAGGCACCUGCGGCUUAUAGACGUGUGCGGCUUAUUUAUGUUCAAAAUAAUUUAUUUUUUUAAAUUCAGUGGGUGCGGCUUAUAUUCAGGUGCGCUUAAUAGUCCGGAAAUUAUGGUUUAUUAAAUAGUUAUUUACCGGAUGAGUGUGUUGACCUUGGCCACAUCGAUGUCGUACAGCUUCUUGACGGCGUGUUUGAUCUGGUAAGGCUAGUAAUGGACUGAUGAAUGGGUCUAGUAGUUAGGAUUAGAGGUAUACGGGUAGGGUCGUACCUGAUGAAUGGGUCUAGUAGUUAGGAUUAGAGGUAUACGGGUAGGGUCGUACCUGAUGAAUGGGUCUAGUAGUU
rnacentral:lncRNA from 1 species